UAGGGAAUCUUCCACAAUGGACGCAAGUCUGAUGGAGCAACGCCGCGUGAGUGAAGAAGGGUUUCGGCUCGUAAAGCUCUGUUGUUAAAGAAGAACGUGGGUAAGAGUAACUGUUUACCCAGUGACGGUAUUUAACCAGAAAGCCACGGCUAACUACGUGGCAG
rnacentral:rRNA from 1 species